UGGGGAAUAUUGCACAAUGGGGGAAACCCUGAUGCAGCGACGCCGCGUGAGUGAAGAAGUAUUUCGGUAUGUAAAGCUCUAUCAGCAGGGAAGAUAAUGACAGUACCUGACUAAGAAGCCCCGGCUAACUACGUGCCAGCAGCCGCGGUAAUACGUAGGGGGCAAGCGUUAUCCGGAUUUACUGGGUGUAAAGGGAGCGUAGACGGAGUGGCAAGUCUGAAGUGAAAACCCUGGGCUUAACCUGGGGACUGCUUUGGAAACUGUUAAUCUAGAGUGUUGGAGAGGUAAGUGGAAUUCCUGGUGUAGCGGUGAAAUGCGUAGAUAUCAGGAAGAACACCGGAGGCGAAGGCGGCUUACUGGACAAUAACUGACGUUGAGGCUCGAAAGCGUGGGGAUCAAACAGGAUUAGAUACCCUGGUAGUCCACGCUGUAAACGAUGAAUACUAGGUGUCGGGGAGCAAAGCUUCUCGGUGCCGUCGCUAACGCAAUAAGUAUUCCACCUGGGGAGUACGUUCGCAAGAAUG
rnacentral:rRNA from 1 species